rnacentral:rRNA from 1 species
AGUGAACGCUGGCGGUAGGCCUAACACAUGCAAGUCGAACGGCAGCACAGUAAGAGCUUGCUCUUACGGGUGGCGAGUGGCGGACGGGUGAGGAAUACAUCGGAAUCUACUUUUUCGUGGGUGAUAACGUAGGGACACUUACGCUAAUACCGCAUACGACCUACGGGUGAAAGCAGGGGAUCUUCGGACCUUGCGCGUUUGAAUUAGACGAUUUCGGAUUAGCUAGUUGGCAAGGUAAAGGCCCACCAAGGCAACGCUGCAUAGCUGACCUGAGAGGAUGAUCGGCCACACUGGAACUGAGACACGGUCCAGACUCCUACGGGAGGCAGCAGUAGGGAAUCUUCCGCAAAGGGCGAAAGCCUGACCGAGCAACGCCGCGUGAGUGAUGAAGGUCUUCGGGUCGUAAAACUCUUUUAUUAGGGAAGAACAGAUGUGUAAGUAACUGUGGACAUCUUGACGGUACCUAAUCAGAAAGCCACGGCUAACUACGUG